CUGAAAGCUCAAACUUAUUGGUGGAAGUAUAACAUUUAAAAUUUCAGUUUUCAAAGAGCUAACCAACCUAAGAGCUCGAAAUUAGACAGGGUUUUUUCAUGGAAAUUUCUUGCCACAAAAUCUCAGUUAAUUUAAUGUACAUAUGCAAAAUGGAUAUGCUUGUAACCUUUUCCAAGCUCCCACUGGAGGAAUAUGUUAAGAAGUUGAUAGCAAGAUGAAGUUGCACCAUGUAGACUGGAUCUUAGUUGCAAAAAUUGCUGUGGGCUGGAGGAUGCAGGAUUUCAAACUCAUGUUUCUAGCCCUUGCACUAAAGCGCACCAAUGAGUAUCAUCGCUGAUUCCAACUCCUCUCCACAAGCGUACCAUCAUCAAACAUGAUUGAGUGCUUUUCAAUGUAUGUGCAAGCCUAGAUUUCUGUAUCUUCAACUUCAGAACUUAGAACAAAGCUGGGAAAUGCCAUUGUUAUAUCCUUCAAAUAUGGUAGGGUCAUAUUCUUCAAAAGAGAUGGAUUCUUUGACACAAGCUCCUUCCACUCUUCCAGAUCAAUUUUUCCAUCACCUUUUGUGUCUGCAUCCUUCCAAGUCUUAUCUACAAUCAUUUCGAUAACAUCAUCAGACAGAACCAACUCCGAUUCAUGCAGAAGUGCCAACACCAUCUCCUUCAACUAUCGGACAAUCAUUAGAAGUUUGUGUAGCAUACUUUAGGAGAAACAAAAUGCUACUAUUACUGUUCUGUUUUUGCCAAUUUCCUUAUAAUUCUCUCAUCUCGUUCAAUACAACCAGUUUGCCUUAGAUCAUAUAAUUUGAAAGCAAAUUCUAUCUUGUCUUCCACAGGUGCAUUGGGAUGAAAGAUGCCCAACGAUCGAACAAAUUCUCCAAAUUCAAUUACUCCAUUGCGCUUGAUAUCAAAUAAAUCAAAGAUCCUGUCGGCAAAAAGAUUCCUUCUAUUUCUGUUCCUGAAAAGUGCUAGCUGAAAUUCUUCCUUAUGAAUAAGCCCAUCAUUGAUUAUUAAAUUGCUUAAUUUCUUAUAAAGCUCAUGCAAGGCCUCUACUUCACUAACCGUAAAAGGUGUUUCAGCAGCAAGAACAGUGGGUUCUUCAUAUCCCCGUGUUUGUUUAGAUCUCUUUAAGCAAAAGCAGCCUUUGAAAGCAAGUAACAUGAUUCAAUUGCAAAACUUUCUGAAAAUCAAUAGAGUCAUGCCCGUGGUAGUACUUGAAAAUUCAACCUGCAUGCCAAGACCAGUGAAAUAAGGAUAAAAUUAACGGCCGAACUUGACGACCUACAACCAUUUCUAUGAUAGCAAAGAUAAAACAGCCAGAAUUCUAUCUUCUAAGUCCAAAACACAAAACAACAACAUCAAUCUGGUUGUGAUCAGGAAUAACAUUAUUAGCAAUCGCUUAAAUAUGGGUCUAAUAUUCACCUAGGAAAUUUAGCCUUAUGCUUGUGAAAUCAUUCAUUUCUUCAAUUUAUAACUCAAUCAAUUCAUUAAUUUAAACAAAACCCUAAAGUCAUCCACAAAAAUAAGCAUCUACCCAAGAUGUAUAAUAAUUUAGUUUGGUGGCAGAUAUGUUUCUCAAAAUUCAGAUUCAAAAUCAAUAAACUGCAUUAUUAACUACAUGUAGUUCAACUGCAUACACUGAUUGCGCCAAACAGCUCAAGGUUGUUUUUGAUUCAACAGAAUGGUUUUGUGGACCAAUAGAGUUGAUUUGGAAUAAAUUACUGAAGCUUAUGAUUUUAGAAGUAGUCUCACUGAUAAGAGCAGAAAAAGCUCAUUAAUCUAGAUCGAAUAGUCAACCAUCCAGAAGAUGAACAAUUGUCUCAUAAGGGGUCAGCAAUUCAACGGUUAAAGAUGUAUAAUUCCUAACAAACAAAGAAAAAGGAACAUGUUGACUGGAUAACACAGGAUAGGUCAUCUACUUAUUGUAAGCACUGCUGCACUGGCCAAUAGAGUUGGCUUAACGACCAUCAUAGGGUAAGCCUGAUACGCAAGGUUAGGGAAGCAAAUGUGGAGAUAGUCCAGCCAUUCCACAUCUUUACACGUGAAGUAGCUGCUCUCAGAACUUGAACAUACGAUCUAAUAGGAAGGUGAGUAAAAAGUGGGAAACCAGUCCUUCCUCACAAAGAAGGAAGCAAUAAUGAUGACCCUUUUACAGACUGUCCAACACUGUAAGUAUUCACUUCACAUACCAUAAUUCUUGUUAGAGACACACGCUUAAUAACAUUUUUAUAUAUGUACUGUUUGAAUCUUCCUGCUUAAUGGAAUAUGCACACAAAAAUAAAAUCAAACCUAUGAAAAAGAAAGGAGAAUCAAGUCUAAUGGUGGUAAUAAAAACAGACACAUCUAAUACAUAAAUGCCGUCCAGCUCUUUUACACUUAUGCCACACGGUUCUUUAAACUAAUCAAACAUCAUGAUAUUCAAACGUAUAAAUACAAAGAUGUGAAGGAAUAUGCAGAACUUUCCAGGAAAUUAAACAAUUAAAUAAAUAUUUAAACCCCUAAUACCAACAAAGCCUAUGUAAGCAGAUAUGAUCUCCCCUAUUUAUAAAAAGAGAUUUUGAAAGGACUCCCAGGCUUUAAGUCAAGCAAUUAUCGACUAAAGGAAUAAAUAAACUGGUAAUAUUGAAAGUAGGCCAACAGAAUUAAGCUUCUUUUUCAAGUCAGGUAACUUGUAGCUUGAGCACCAAAAAUUAGUGAUGAAACCUUAGAAAGUUAGAAACCACAGGUACAGAUCUCAAAGAAAGGAGCCAGAAAGAACAAAGUUGUUAUUC
rnacentral:misc_RNA from 1 species